AGCUCUACCUUAGUUUUUUUGUUAAACUGAACAAGACCUCAAACUUAAGAGCUAUUCAAAUAAGGCACAGCUUAUUUGAAAUAGGAUACAACCUACAACAUAGGGUAACCGAGAGUAACUUAAAUAAAGUGGGCCUAAAAGCAGCCAUCUUUAAAAAAGCGUUAAAGCUUAACUACUCCUCACUCACAAUACCUAAAGCCCUCACUAACCCCUCAUUACUAUUGAACAGUUUUAUACUCAUAUAAAAGCUAUUAUGCUAGAACUAGUAACAAGAAAUUGCCUUUCUCCUAAAUGUAAGUAUACACCAAAAUAAACUCUGUUGGCUAUUAACGUGAAUGCUAAACUAUAGUAACACCCGCUAGAAAACUCUAUAACUCUUAACGUUAACCUUACACCAGAACAUUCCAGGAAAGAUUAAAAGAAAAAGAAGGAACUCGGCAAAUCAUAGCCCCGCCUGUUUACCAAAAACAUCGCCUCUUGCAAAACAUAAGAGGUCCAGCCUGCCCAGUGACGAAGUUCAACGGCCGCGGUACCCUAACCGUGCGAAGGUAGCAUAAUCACUUGUUCUUUAAAUGAGGACUUGUAUCAACGGCACUACGAGGGCUAUACUGUCUCCUUUUUCCAAUCAGUGAAACUGAUCUCCCCGUGAAGAAGCGGGGAUCAAAAUAUAAGACGAGAAGACCCCAUGGAGCUUUAAACUCUCUGUGCACUUCUGUGCCCCUACAUCAUUAGACAUAAGAAAUCUGUACACUAGUUUUAGGUUGGGGGGACCACGGAGUACAACUUAACCUCCUUAACAAAUGGGUUAAUACCCUUAUCCACGAGACACACCUCUAAGAAUUAUUAAACUAAUGCCUAUGACCCGAUAUUCGAUCAAUGAACCAAGUUACCCUGGGGAUAACAGCGCAAUCUACUUCAAGAGCCCAUAUCGACAAGUAGGUUUACGACCUCGAUGUUGGAUCAGGGUAUCCCGGUGGUGCAGCCGCUACCAAUGGUUCGUUUGUUCAACGAUUAAAACCCUACGUGAUUU
rnacentral:rRNA from 1 species